UUACGGCCAUAUCACGUUGGAACUCCGGUUCCUGUACGAUCACAGAAGUUAACCAACGUCGAACCUGGUCAAUACCUAGAUGGGUGACCGUUUGGGAAUACCAUGUGCAGUAAG